GUGGCAUUGGUUUUGUCUCCACACCUGUGAUCUUCCGGUAAGACUGUUUUUCUCUGAUCUCUCUCUCUGAGUGGCAUUGGUUUUGUCUCCACACCUGCAUGCUGGCAGUUGGAUGCUGUUUGUGGGACCUGAGCCCUAAGACCAUGCAUCAGGACUACCUGGCAUGAUGACUCCUUGCUGUCCCCAGUCCACCUGGCCCUGCUGGUCAUUUAUGAACAUCUUGGCCAUGUUCUGUUAUAAUCUCCACCCGGCACAGAAGAGGACUGGCCACCUCUCACAGACUGGUUCCUCUCUAGGUUUCUUCCUAGGUUCUGCCCUUUCUAGGGAGUUUUUUCAGAGCCACCGUGCUUCUACACCUGCAUUGCUUGCUGUUUGGAGUUUUAGGCUGGGUUUCUGUACAGCACUUUGAGAUAGGGCUUUAUAAAUGUGAUUUGAUGUAAGACUACAUUAUGAAUGUACAUUAUGACUGUACUUACAGAGAUACAGUGAUGUAUGACCUAUUUUUGCAGACCGAAUUUUGCUUUCAUAAUGAUGCCGUGUGUGUGUGUGUGUGUGUGUGUGUGUGUGUGUGUGUGUGUGUGUGUGUGUGUGUGUGUGUGUGUGUGUGUGUGUGUGUGUGUGUGUACCAGUUUUAUACACUGGGAUGAUGAAGUGUGACAGGGCUUAAAUCUCUAAAGGAAGUGCUAUGCUGGUUUCUGGUAAAUGCUUCUGUCGCGCGCUCACUUCUAAUACCGUUAGCGAGACCAGCAUGACACGGCCAGUGGCUUUUUCUGCUGAUACAAAAUGGCAGGAAAGGGGAACCUUUCGUAACUCCGUGGGUGAGAAAUACUGAUUUUGAGAAAAAAGAGGACACGUGUUAGAAAUUCAGGUUAUUUCACAAAAUGUGUCAUUUUUCUGAUUAUCAGUCUUUCUCAACCACCGUGUCUUAGAAGGUUCCAUUGUUUUUUUACCAUUUCCAUUGUGAGAAUAUAUACGGAAAUAGUGCUAUUAUAGAACCAAAAGGGGUUCAAGGGCUCGCUUAAGGCUUGAUUGUGGUAUUCAAAAAGUUCCUAUGAAUUUCUGCGGUGUAACAUUCCUGUAAAAGCUAUGAUCCUCCAACCAUCCACUGAUAUGUGUUUUCAGUUUAGUCCACCACGACUGCUUGAGGGCAAUACACACACACGUGAUAAUGCAUUAACAUAUUUCUGCCAACUUGUCUGAGCAUGUGGGACAUGUAGAAUUGGCAGGAUGCGCCUCGGAGCUAUCCCAAUCGGAGGAGCCUCGGAGCUAUCCCAAUCAGAGGAGCCUCGUAGCUAUCCCAAUCAGAGGAGCCUCGUAGCUAUCCCAAUCAGAGGAGCCUCGUAGCUAUCCC